UACGUAGGGGGCUAGCGUUGUCCGGAAUCAUUGGGCGUAAAGAGCGUGUAGGCGGCCCGGUAAGUCCGCUGUGAAAGUCGGGGGCUCAACCCUCGGAUGCCGGUGGAUACUGUCGGGCUCGAGUACGGAAGAGGCGAGUGGAAUUCCUGGUGUAGCGGUGAAAUGCGCAGAUAUCAGGAGGAACACCGAUUGCGAAGGCAGCUCGCUGGGACGUAACUGACGCUGAGACGCGAAAGCGUGGGGAGCAAACAGG
rnacentral:rRNA from 1 species